AGAAAAUGCAAGUUAAGAAGACAAUCCUGAUGAUAGACACAAGUGUUAUCUUUCAUUCAUCCAAGGUGUGCUGUGGGAGAAGGAGGCAACAGUAGCAAUGGAGUAGCAGUCUCCAGCGGUAUAUUAUCAUGAAGAACUUCCAUGUGGAAAGCUCCUACAGCAGGCAAGACAAUGCCCUGUUACCACAGAGGAGCCAGACAGGAAUGUGGAUGGAGGAGGAUACA
rnacentral:lncRNA from 1 species